UAUAAUGGGUCAGCGACUUAUAUUCUGUAGCAAGGUUAACCGAAUAGGGGAGCCGAAGGGAAACCGAGUCUUAACGGGCGUUAAGUUGCAGGGUAUAGACCCGAAACCCGGUGAUCUAGCCAUGGGCAGGUUGAAGGUUGGGUAACACUAACUGGAGGACCGAACCGACUAAUGUUGAAAAAUUAGCGGAUGACUUGUGGCUGGGGGUGAAAGGCCAAUCAAACCGGGAGAUAGCUGGUUCUCCCCGAAAGCUAUUUAGGUAGCGCCUCGUGAAUUCAUCUCCGGGGGUAGAGCACUGUUUCGGCAAGGGGGUCAUCCCGACUUACCAACCCGAUGCAAACUGCGAAUACCGGAGAAUGUUAUCACGGGAGACACACGGCGGGUGCUAACGUCCGUCGUGAAGAGGGAAACAACCCAGACCGCCAGCUAAGGUCCCAAAGUCAUGGUUAAGUGGGAAACGAUGUGGGAAGGCCCAGACAGCCAGGAUGUUGGCUUAGAAGCAGCCAUCAUUUAAAGAAAGCGUAAUAGCUCACUGGUCGAGUCGGCCUGCGCGGAAGAUGUAACGGGGCUAAACCAUGCACCGAAGCUGCGGCAGCGACACUGUGUGUUGUUGGGUAGGGGAGCGUUCUGUAAGCCUGUGAAGGUGUCUGUGAGGAUGCUGGAGGUAUCAGAAGUGCGAAUGCUGACAUAAGUAACGAUAAAGCGGGUGAAAAGCCCGCUCGCCGGAAGACCAAGGGUUCCUGUCCAACGUUAAUCGGGGCAGGGUGAGUCGACCCCUAAGGCGAGGCCGAAAGGCGUAGUCGAUGGGAAACAGGUUAAUAUUCCUGUACUUGGUGUUACUGCGAAGGGGGGACGGAGAAGGCUAUGUUGGCCGGGCGACGGUUGUCCCGGUUUAAGCGUGUAGGCUGGUUUUCCAGGCAAAUCCGGAAAAUCAAGGCUGAGGCGUGAUGACGAGGCACUACGGUGCUGAAGCAACAAAUGCCCUGCUUCCAGGAAAAGCCUCUAAGCAUCAGGUAACAUCAAAUCGUACCCCAAACCGACACAGGUGGUCAGGUAGAGAAUACCAAGGCGCUUGAGAGAACUCGGGUGAAGGAACUAGGCAAAAUGGUGCCGUAACUUCGGGAGAAGGCACGCUGAUAUGUAGGUGAAGUCCCUCGCGGAUGGAGCUGAAAUCAGUCGAAGAUACCAGCUGGCUGCAACUGUUUAUUAAAAACACAGCACUGUGCAAACACGAAAGUGGACGUAUACGGUGUGACGCCUGCCCGGUGCCGGAAGGUUAAUUGAUGGGGUCAGCGCAAGCGAAGCUCUUGAUCGAAGCCCCGGUAAACGGCGGCCGUAACUAUAACGGUCCUAAGGUAGCGAAAUUCCUUGUCGGGUAAGUUCCGACCUGCACGAAUGGCGUAAUGAUGGCCAGGCUGUCUCCACCCGAGACUCAGUGAAAUUGAACUCGCUGUGAAGAUGCAGUGUACCCGCGGCAAGACGGAAAGACCCCGUGAACCUUUACUAUAGCUUGACACUGAACAUUGAGCCUUGAUGUGUAGGAUAGGUGGGAGGCUUUGAAGUGUGGACGCCAGUCUGCAUGGAGCCGACCUUGAAAUACCACCCUUUAAUGUUUGAUGUUCUAACGUGGACCCGUGAUCCGGGUUGCGGACAGUGUCUGGUGGGUAGUUUGACUGGGGCGGUCUCCUCCUAAAGAGUAACGGAGGAGCACGAAGGUUGGCUAAUCCUGGUCGGACAUCAGGAGGUUAGUGCAAUGGCAUAAGCCAGCUUGACUGCGAGCGUGACGGCGCGAGCAGGUGCGAAAGCAGGUCAUAGUGAUCCGGUGGUUCUGAAUGGAAGGGCCAUCGCUCAACGGAUAAAAGGUACUCCGGGGAUAACAGGCUGAUACCGCCCAAGAGUUCAUAUCGACGGCGGUGUUUGGCACCUCGAUGUCGGCUCAUCACAUCCUGGGGCUGAAGUAGGUCCCAAGGGUAUGGCUGUUCGCCAUUUAAAGUGGUACGCGAGCUGGGUUUAGAACGUCGUGAGACAGUUCGGUCCCUAUCUGCCGUGGGCGCUGGAGAACUGAGGGGGGCUGCUCCUAGUACGAGAGGACCGGAGUGGACGCAUCACUGGUGUUCGGGUUGUCAUGCCAAUGGCACUGCCCGGUAGCUAAAUGCGGAAGAGAUAAGUGCUGAAAGCAUCUAAGCACGAAACUUGCCCCGAGAUGAGUUCUCCCUGACCCUUUAAGGGUCCUGAAGGAACGUUGAAGACGACGACGUUGAUAGGCCGGGUGUGUAAGCGCAGCGAUGCGUUGAGCUAACCGGUACUAAUGAACCGUGAGGCUUAACCUU
rnacentral:rRNA from 1 species